GAAGCGAAAGCACCGAAACAAUCGACCAAUCCUGCUCUCGCAUCUGAAUCCAACGCAGGCGAAGCGUCGCGAGUCCAGGUAAGUAGCCGCAACUAGGAUCAACGCAUCUGCAUUCUCGUCCGAAUACCGCAGUAGAUUCAUGCACGCACACCGUCUUGAUCCGAGAACCAUGGGAUUGAGGCGCAAGAGGGGGGAGAUUCAUCAGAUCAAUCUGUGGAGAAGUACUUCAGUGCUGCUCGCCCGUGGCCCUGGGAAACCAUUUACCUAUCGCGGGCGUAAGGAAGGUCCAAUAUCUAGUGAGAAUUAUGCUAAGCCACUUGAGCAGAACAGAGAAUUUGGUAUCGUGGAUCAGUGUGUCAGAAGCAGCAGUGUGGCUGGUACGGUGGGAACGAACUUGAUAUCGUGCAUUUGGAUGGAAGUGAACUUGAUAUCGUGCAUCCUUUUUCAAAGCUCAAUGAAACAACCGGUUACAAGCCACAUAAUCCUUCUGGGCUAUCUUCUGCUGCCGCGCGCAGCAAAAGUCGCCUGACGCUGGCACACCCUGCAUUAGUUUGCAUUGGUGAAUUCUGGUCGAUUGUGACUACUGGUGACUGGUGACGGGCAACAGCUCGUUCUGACUCUCUGCCCUGCCAUAUGCUCAUCAGCUCAUGGCGCAGCAAAGCACGUGUUUUAGUUUAAUUUUGUCAUACAUUACAUACAUUCGACUGGGAUCAUCUCAUACGGACGCAUCAUCAUCAAUGGCCGGUGACAUCAGAGGUUUGGUAGACGUUGCAUCCAUUUCUUCCUGCCCCGGCCGGCCGUCGAGGGUUUUGGUUUCUCGUGCCGGCUUCCGCUUCAGCCCAUUAGUACGUCCCAUUAUUCAUGCCGACGCUGAAGGGCGUGCCAUCCCGUUGGCCCUCCUUCCGUACGUGGGCUUCGCUAUUUUUACAACCAGAAGCAAGCACCGGAGCGUUGUCUGGCACUGGGAGAGAAAGUGAAGCUGCCUGCUAGCUAGAUGUGGGAACGUUCGGUUCUUGAAAGGUCACUCUUCAAGCGCAGUUAGGGCGUGUUUGCGACCCUGUAUCUAUCUGGUCGGCUCGGCUCGUUCAACUGGUCUAGCUACUGUAACUUAAUUUGUUUGCACACUGAUACCGUAUGAGACUACUCUGAUUCAGAUGAACCGAAUGACACCAUUGAGCCAGGGUUUUCUUUAGUUAUUAGAAUAUCAAGGCUCGUAAUAUACAAUCUAUAUCUAUAUACAUAUAUGAAUUGG